GUCGUUGACUUCAUCAAUUAUAUAUAGGAUUCGUAGGGAGGGCAGUGCAAUUAGAAUGAGGAUUAUGGCGGGUGAGAUGGGUCACU